rnacentral:rRNA from 1 species
GAGGGAUCAUUACCGAGUUUACAACUCCCAAACCCAAUGUGAACGUUACCAAACUGUUGCCUCGGCGGGAUCUCUGCCCCGGGUGCGUCGCAGCCCCGGACCAAGGCGCCCGCCGGAGGACCAACCAAAACUCUUUUUGUAUACCCCCUCGCGGGUUUUUUAUAAUCUGAGCCUUCUCGGCGCCUCUCGUAGGCGUUUCGAAAAUGAAUCAAAACUUUCAACAACGGAUCUCUUGGUUCUGGCAUCGAUGAAGAACGCAGCGAAAUGCGAUAAGUAAUGUGAAUUGCAGAAUUCAGUGAAUCAUCGAAUCUUUGAACGCACAUUGCGCCCGCCAGUAUUCUGGCGGGCAUGCCUGUCCGAGCGUCAUUUCAACCCUCGAACCCCUCCGGGGGGUCGGCGUUGGGGAUCGGCCCUGCCUCUUGGCGGUGGCCGUCUCCGAAAUACAGUGGCGGUCUCGCCGCAGCCUCUCCUGCGCAGUAGUUUGCACACUCGCAUCGGGAGCGCGGCGCGUCCACAGCCGUUAAACACCCAACUUCUGAAAUGUUGACCUCG